rnacentral:rRNA from 1 species
AACGAACGCUGGCGGCAUGCCUAACACAUGCAAGUCGAACGAGACCUUCGGGUCUAGCGGCGCACGGGUGCGUAACGCGUGGGAACCUGCCCUUAGGUUCGGAAUAACUCCCCGAAAGGGGUGCUAAUACCGGAUAAUGUCUUCGGACCAAAGAUUUAUCGCCUUUGGAUGGGCCCGCGUUGGAUUAGCUAGUUGGUAGGGUAAAAGUCUACCAAGGCGACGAUCCAUAGCUGGUCUGAGAGGAUGAUCAGCCACACUGGGACUGAGACACGGCCCAGACUCCUACGGGAGGCAGCAGUGGGGAAUAUUGGACAAUGGGCGAAAGCCUGAUCCAGCAAUGCCGCGUGAGUGAUGAAGGCCUUAGGGUUGUAAAGCUCUUUUACCCGGGAUGAUAAUGACAGUACCGGGAGAAUAAGCUCCGGCUAACUCCGUG